UACUGGUUAUUAAAAAUCUUUGGAGAACUCACAGUCAGAUUUCAGCUCUGCUGAAGUUAUGCAUACUUAAAAAUCAAGCACAGACUUAUUAAAAUCUAGAGGCGCCAUAAUAUAAUACUGUUUACAUCUGGAAACAACUCGUCCGUUCUAUUAGUUUUAACGCUAUGGUUUUGUUAGGUAGAAUAGGUAGGUUGUAAGAUGUACAUAUUCCUGCAUGGAUGAAACACAAAAAGGACGGUUAAAGUAGAUAAAAAUAGAAACAAUAACUAUCGAAAAUCAAAAUCAAAACUAGGUUAUAACUAGGUAAGUCUAGAAUAUAAAUAGGUAAGCCUAGAAUAUAACUAGGUAAGGUCUAGAAUGUAAGUUAGGUUAGAAACAAAGCAUCUUUGUGCGAAUGUGGUUUUAAAAAGAAAUAGAAGUGAAGUAGAAGAGGUUUAACUUGGAACAGGCCAAAGGAGGUUUUAUUCAAACAUUU